rnacentral:lncRNA from 1 species
UACAUCGAAAUGCUGCUGAAGGCCGAGGUGCCGCUCGUGUUUUCCGCUUUCCACAUGUCUGGGUUUGCUCCAUCCCAGAUUUGCCUACAGUGGAUAACUCAGUGUUUUUGGAAUUACCUAGAUUGGAUAGAAAUAUGCCAUUAUAUUGCUACUUGUGUUGUCCUUGGCCCUGAUUAUCAAGUGUAUAUCUGCAUAGCCAUCCUCAAACAUCUGCAGCGAGACAUUCUCCACCACACCCAGACUCAAGAUCUGCAAGUCUUUCUCAAAGAAGAAGCACUGCACGGGUUUCGAGUGAGCAACUAUUUUGAGUACAUGGAGACUUUGGAGCAGAACUACCGACCAGUGCUGCUGCGGGACAUGCGCAGCGUCAGAGGGCAGAGCACAUAGAUCAGAAGAAACACUCGGAUGUUAUGUCCUAUUCAUCUGUAAAGGAGACAAGGCAACUUGAUGGUGUUCUGUCUCCAUCUGUAAGAUGCUCUGUGUGUCCGUGCUCUGUAAAUCAGCACCGCGGGCUUUGGAACAGAAUACAUUCACCUUGCAAUUUG